rnacentral:rRNA from 1 species
ACGCUCGACACCUACGGGGGGCAGCAGUGGGGAAUAUUGCACAAUGGGGGAAACCCUGAUGCAGCGACGCCGCGUGAGCGAAGAAGUAUUUCGGUAUGUAAAGCUCUAUCAGCAGGGAAGAAACUGACGGUACCUGACUAAGAAGCACCGGCUAAAUACGCGCCAGCAGCCGCGGUAAUCUGAGCGGCUGGCAAGGC